CCUAUUCAAACUGGCCCUGAGUUGUCUCAGUGCAGUUGCUGGGACAAUUCCUCCUGACCACCUUGACCUGAGCUGCACAGGAGGACGAGAGAGACACUCGGCGAUGGAUUCAGAGAGACGGUUUUGUCCUCGACCUCUGGACACCUCAAAAGGGUGCUCAGGUUUGAGGGCAGAUUAACAGGGCUGAGAAAGUUCCCCUUGAGCGACAAAUUCAUUUCUUUAUUAAGGUUGUAUUGCUACUAUUACAGCAGUGGCAAACUCCGGUCCUGGAGAGCCGCAGCCCUGCAGAGUUCAGCUCUAACCCUAAUUAAAACUCACCUGCCUGUAGCUUCCAAUGUGUUCACUUAGAGAUGGCUGCCAGUCAACCAAUAAAGAAAAAGAGAUGACUACAAAGUAAUUUGUGUUGACAGACUGCCAUUACAUUUGCAUGUGAUUAUGUGGGUCAGGUUUUUCUUACAUAAGCCA
rnacentral:lncRNA from 1 species